AAUACUACUCAUAUAAUAACUUUUAAAAUGCACAAAAAUAGUUAGAAGUAUAUAAAAGAAAUAGAAAAAAAAAAAUGGCUUCCAAGAAGCACUUCUCAAGAAUAGUUGCUAUUGUGUUGAGUCUUCUGCUUCUCUUCACUACCACUGUCACCUCAAAAAGGCAUUUGCUUACAUCUCCUAAUGCUAAUGGACAACGAUCUGGAACUCAGGAAGCUCUUGAUCAGCCAUGGGACCCCGGCUCGCACGGUGUGUGGGGGGGCGGUGGUGGAUGGGGAGGAGGACGACCUCAGAAUCACACACCUCAGCGAAAGGCAAAAGUUAAGACCUAGAGAAAAAUACAUAUGUGGACAUAAUAUAUAAAUAUGAAUAUAGUGUCCUAAAGUGUAAAUAUAUAAACUAUAAGUAUAAGUGCCUCUUUGAAAUUUCUUUUCAAGUGUUUUAGAAGAAAACUACUUUGAGGUAUAAACCCUUGAAAAGUCAGUUCAAACAGAUUAUCUAAAAUGUGUUUAAGAAUGAGUGCAAAUGUAGUUUGUAAGUAAUAGAAUUAGUGUGGUUGAUUUUUAUGCUAUUCGCUUUUGUUUAUUUAGGAGUUAGUGGUCUUGGCUUAAUGUGAUUGAUUAAGGGAGAAUUGUAAGGUUGGUAGCACUUGUGGUCUAAAUAUGUAUAUAGUUAGUGUGUUAGUGGUCUGUUUUUUAUGUACCUAUACCUAUAUAAAUACACUUGUAAUGUUUCCAUUUCAAUAAAUAUAGAUGUGAUCAUACUUGAUCCUCUAUGUCA